GACAGCUGUUUAACCACUCACUCACAACGCAGUGACAACAAUGUCAACGAAAAUUGCGUUUUGGCUCUAGUGCCAGAUAUAAUGUAAGUGCCAAGAGAUAAUUCUACACUUGCAAGAAGUGGUCCAAUAUUAGUUUGUGGCUGUCUAGUUGUGCUUAGCUCUAUAUGCUAACCGUUAGCUUACCCGGCUAGCUUAAACAGACUGAUCCAAUGGUAAAAGUUAUUGGUGAUUUUUUUCCGUUCGUGUUAAGCAUUAGGCCUACAUAUUACAGUUACAGCCACAGUCUCUUUAGAUAAACCACAAACUAUGUUUAAAGCCGCUCGGAUGCUCGUCGUGUUUUCUGAAUAUUGUAUCUCGCCUCGAAUGCAAAAUGUUCAGAAAAACAUGGCGGAGGUCCGUGUAGCUACCAACAUAUUUUUGUUGUUGACAAUCUAAAAAGUCUGACUCAUCGUGGCACCUGUCCCUGCCUAAUUACCUCCACUUCCAGUCACGGUCCAGUCAACAGAAAUGACCAGUCCAAUGUGUUAAAGUGGUCUCAAAACAGAAUAAUAACACAAAGCUUUUGUUGUCUUGUUUUCAUCCCCUUUACAGAGCUUCCAGGAGUAGUAGUGACAAGGCCCCAACACCUCCAUCAACCUGGUCAACACACCACCUGGAGAUUGCCUACCUUCUGCACAGAGCUCUCAAGUGUUAUCUGAGCCUGAUGAUAUGCUCAUGCCCAGGCGAAAUUCACUGACCACCAUGCAAGAUGUGAGACGAAUAAUAAGACAGAAGUACAACAACACCAAGCAAGUAAACGAAAAGAAGUCCUAAAUGUCAACAUAUUAUGUAAAAAUAAAUAUGAAAUAAAUAAAUCAAACUUAUUUUCAA